GUCAUUUGAAACAAUCUGAAACAAAGGGAUCAUUUUUCAAUAUUGUGAGAAUACACAUUUACAGCAUUGACCGAUAUGGCCCAAACAAUGAAAUGGAGAGUUGCACUGCUAUGUAUAACAGUACUAAUGGAAAUGAAAGCAACGACAGAAGGCAGUGAUGUCCAGAUGACAGCUACAGAAGCAAUAACAACAGGUACACCCACGACAACUACUGAAACUGCUAAAACAAGCACUACUACUCAAACAACAACCACGGACGCACCCACAACAACCACAGCUUUACCCACAACAACAGCAGGUGCUCCCACUACAACUAUGGCAGCAGCAUCAACAACUACUGGAGCAGCCUCAACAACCACGGCAGAAACCACAACUACAACACCUGCUCCAACAACACCAGCUCCCACAACAACCACGACAGCAAGCACAACAACCACGGCAGCAGCCACUACAACCACGGCAGAAACCACAACUAACACAGCUGUUCCAACAACAUCCACAGGUGCACCCACAACAACUACAGAAGCUGCUACCACAAGCACUACUACUCAAACAACAACCACGGCCGCAGCCACAACAACCACAGCUUUACCCACAACAACAACAGGUGCUCCCACUACAACUACGGCAGAAGCAACAACAACCACCGGAGCAGCCACAACAACCACGGCAGAAACCACAACUACCACAGAUGCUCCCACGACAACACCAACCCCCACAACAACCACGGCAGCAGCCACAACUACCAUGGCAGAAACCACAACUAACACAGCUGCUCCAACAACAUCCACAGGUGCUCCCACUACAACCACUGGAGCAGCCACAACAACCACGGCAGAAACCACAACUACAACGGCUGCUCCCACGACAACAGUUGCAGCCCCCACAACAACCACGACAGCAAGCACAACAACCACGGCAGCAGCCACAACUAUCACGGCAGAAACCACAACUACCACAGAUGCUCCCACGACAACACCAACCCCCACAACAACCACGGCAGCAGCCACAACUACCAUGGCAGAAACCACAACUAACACAGCUGCUCCAACAACAUCCACAGGUGCUCCCACUACAACCACUGGAGCAGCCACAACAACCACGGCAGAAACCACAACUACAACGGCUGCUCCCACGACAACAGUUGCAGCCCCCACAACAACCACGACAGCAAGCACAACAACCACGGCAGCAGCCACAACUAUCACGGCAGAAAC
ensembl:lncRNA